rnacentral:rRNA from 1 species
GUAGUUGAAUUUUAGCCUUGGCUGGGUGGUCCACCAAUGGAUGGUACUGCUCUGGCUGGGGUUCACUUUCUGGUGAGCCGGUAUGCUCUUCACUGGGUGUGCCGAGGAACCAGGACUUUUACUUUGAAAAAAUUAGAGUGUUUAAAGCAGGCCUAUGCUUGAAUACAUUAGCAUGGAAUAAUAGAAUAGGACUUUGGUUCUAUUUUGUUGGUUUCUAGGACCGAAGUAAUGAUUAAUAGGGAUAGUUGGGGGCAUUAGUAUUUAGUAGCUAGAGGUGAAAUUCUUGGAUUUAUGAAAGACUAACUUCUGCGAAAGCAUUUGCCAAGGAUGUUUUCAUUAAUCAAGAACGAAAGUUAGGGGAUCGAAGACGAUCAGAUACCGUCGUAGUCUUAACCAUAAACUAUGCCGACUAGGGAUCAGACGAUGUUACUUUACUGACUCGUUUGGCACCUUAUGAGAAAUCAAAGUUUUUGGGUUCCGGGGGGAGUAUGGUCGCAAGGCUGAAACUUAAAGGAAUUGACGGAAGGGCACCACCAGGAGUGGAGCCUGCGGCUUAAUUUGACUCAACACGGGGAAACUCACCAGGUCCAGACAUAGUAAGGAUUGACAGAUUGAGAGCUCUUUCUUGAUUCUAUGGGUGGUGGUGCAUGGCCGUUCUUAGUUGGUGGAGUGAUUUGUCUGCUUAAUUGCGUUAACGAACGAGACCUUAACCUGCUAAAUAGUUAUGCCAACUUUUGUUGGUAGUCAACUUCUUAGAGGGACUGUCGGCGAUUAGCCGAUGGAAGUUUUAGGCAAUAACAGGUCUGUUAUGCCCUUAGAUGUCCUGGGCCGCACGCGCGCUACACUGAUGAAGUCAACGAGUCUAUAACCUUGGCCGGAAGGU